rnacentral:rRNA from 1 species
GCACAAGCGGUGGAGCAUGUGGUUUAAUUCGACGCAACGCGCAGAACCUUACCAGCCCUUGACAUGUCCGGGACCGGUCGCAGAGAUGUGACCUUCUCUUCGGAGCCCGGAACACAGGUGCUGCAUGGCUGUCGUCAGCUCGUGUCGUGAGAUGUUGGGUUAAGUCCCGCAACGAGCGCAACCCCCGUCCUUAGUUGCUACCAUUUAGUUGAGCACUCUAAGGAGACUGCCGGUGAUAAGCCGCGAGGAAGGUGGGGAUGACGUCAAGUCCUCAUGGCCCUUACGGGCUGGGCUACACACGUGCUACAAUGGCGGUGACAAUGGGACGCUAAGGGGCAACCCUUCGCAAAUCUCAAAAAGCCGUCUCAGUUCGGAUUGGGCUCUGCAACUCGAGCCCAUGAAGUUGGAAUCGCUAGUAAUCGUGGAUCAGCAUGCCACGGUGAAUACGUUCCCGGGC